GUCAAGGUCUCCCCCAACUACACAAAACAAAAACCCCUCUCUCUCUCUCUCUCUCGCUCUCCGAGACCCCAAAAACCAAAAAUGGCUCUCCGUCUCUUCCUCCUCAUCGCCGUGUUUUCCCUCACCCUCUUCUCCGUCUCGGUCAGGUCCUCCGACUCGGACCUUGUAUCAGAACUCCUGGCCCUCCAGUCCCACUCCAAAUCGGGCGUUAUCCACCUCGACGACCGCUCCGUCUCGCGCUUCCUGACCUCGCCCAAGACCCCCAGGCCCUACUCCCUGCUCGUCUUCUUCGACGCGACCCAACUCCACGACAAGGCCGAGCUCCAGCUGAAGACCCUCCAUGCCGAGUUCUCGCUCCUCGCCAAAUCCUUCAUCACAAACAACCAAGACCCCGAUUCCUCCUCCCACGGCAAGCUCUUCUUCUGCGACCUUGAGUUCAAGGAGUCCCAGUCCAGCUUCGCGCUCUUCGGCGUCAAUUCCCUCCCUCACAUCAAGCUCAUCGGCCCGAAUCAGACCCCGAAACAGUCCGAUCAGAUGGACCAGGGAGACUUCUCCAGGCUUGCCGAGUCGAUGUCCCAUUUCGUCGAGUCCAAGACCAAUCUCGUCGUCGGCCCGAUCCACCGCCCACCGUUUCUCUCGAAGAAGCAAUUGGCGUUGGUCAUUGUGGGUAUUCUCAUUUGGAUUCCAUUUGCUGUGAAGAAGAUUGUGAUGGGUGAGACUCUGCUCCACGACCCGAAACUCUGGCUGGCGGGUUCGGUGUUCGUCUACUUCUUCAGCGUCUCGGGCGCGAUGCACAACAUCAUUCGGAAGAUGCCCAUGUUCCUGGCGGACCGGAACGACCCAAACAAGCUGGUAUUCUUCUACCAGGGCUCGGGAAUGCAGCUCGGGGCGGAGGGGUUCGCCAUCGGGUUCUUGUACACGAUUGUGGGUCUGCUGCUGGCGUUCAUGACGCGUGUUCUCGUGAAGGUGAAGAAUGUGAACGUGCAGAGGGCGGUGAUGAUUGUUUCGCUGUUCGUUUCGUUUUGGGCGGUCAAGAAGGUGGUCUAUUUGGAUAAUUGGAAGACUGGUUAUGGGAUCCACGGAUUUUGGCCUUCAAGUUGGUAAUAAGCUACAAAAAGAAUUACGUUAGGGAGCACUUGAGGUGGGAGUGGACCAAUUGGCUAAAUGCUCAGAGGCUAGAUAGGUUAGGGAAGUCUAACAGUGGUUUAUCGGGUUGGAUGGAACAAUGGCGAUAUUGCGUUUGGUAAAGUUGUUACUGUGAGAUCCCUCCACGACGUCUAAAAUGUUCCACUUGAUUCC